GACGAACGCUGGCGGCGCGCUUAACACAUGCAAGUCGAGCGAGAACCAGCCCUUCGGGGCUGGGGAAAGCGGCGAACGGGUGAGUAACACGUGGGUAAUCUGCCCUCGGCACCGGAAUAGCCCGGGGAAACUGGGUCUAAUACCGGAUAUGACUCCAUGACGCAUGUUGUGGGGUGGAAAGCCUUGUGCGGCUAGGGAUGGGCCCGCGGCCUAUCAGCUUGUUGGUGGGGUGAUGGCCUACCAAGGCGACGACGGGUAGCCGGCCUGAGAGGGCGACCGGCCACACUGGGACUGAGACACGGCCCAGACUCCUACGGGAGGCAGCAGUGGGGAAUCUUGCGCAAUGGGCGAAAGCCUGACGCAGCGACGCCGCGUGAGGGAUGACGGCCUGGUU
rnacentral:rRNA from 1 species